rnacentral:rRNA from 1 species
GAUGAACGCUGGCAGAAUGCUUAACACAUGCAAGUCAACUUGAACUACGGGUUGGGUGGCGGUCGGGUAAGUAACGCGUAAAGAACUUGCAUCACAGCUAAGGACAACUAUUGGACACGAAUGCUAAUACCUGAUAGUAUGAUUAUAUGGCAUCGUAUAAUUAUGAAAGCUAUAUGUGCUGUGAGAGAGCUUUGCGUCCCAUUAGCUAGGUGGAGAGGUAACAGCUCACCAAGGCGAUGAUGGGUAGCCGGCCUGAGAGGGUGAUCCGCCACAGGGGCACGGGGACACGGCCCUUACUCCUACGGGCGGCAGCAGUGGGGAAUAGUGGACAAAGGACCGAGAGUGUGAUCAAGCAAUUCUGUGUGCAAGAUGAAGUUUUUCGGAAUGUAAAGUGCUCUCAGUUGGUAAGAAAAAAAUGACGGUACCAACAGAAGAAGAGACGGCUAAAUACGUG